CUGCACUGACUGAACCUGACUAAGAUGAAGCUUUCAUGCAACUCCAAGAUGAAGCUUCCAUGCAACUUGAUUGAGCCAAAGUAAAAAUUGACCGAGUCAAAUUCAAAAUUCACCGAACAACACCACCACAUGACCUAGGGAAAAUCAACUUUGACCGAGGACUUAUGGCUUGUGACCGAAGGAAUAAGGGACCCAUGCAAAACAGUGCAUCGCCAUCAACGCAUCAGCCUGAGGCACUGCAUAACACCGUGACCGUAGCACACAGGCCUUGGCGCAUAGAUUCUGACCGAGGCGCCAAGGGUUUGAUGCAUCAAGCCUGACCGAAUUCUCCUGGUCUGGGCGCAUGAAAUCUGACCGAGACUGCCUGGGCGUAGCACAUCCAACCUAGGCGCACCAGUCCUGACCGAUGGGUCAUUGGCCAUGGUGCAUCAGUUUCUUAUGGCCUGAGCAUUUUUGGUUUUAAACAUUUCUUAUGAGCUUUUCUUAUUCCUUUUGCUUCUAGAUGCUUCUUAGAAGAAGUUU
rnacentral:lncRNA from 1 species